rnacentral:rRNA from 1 species
GUGCCAGCAGUCGCGGUAAUACGGAGGAUUCGAGCGUUAUCCGGAUUUAUUGGGUUUAAAGGGUGCGUAGGCGGACCAAUAAGUCAGUGGUGAAAUACAUCAGCUUAACUGAUGCACUGCCAUUGAUACUGUUGGACUAGAAUAUAAAUGGUGCAGGCGGAAUGAAUCAUGUAGAGGAGAAAUUCAUAGAUAUGAUUCAGAAAACCGAUCGCGAAGGCAGCUUGAAAAGAUAUUAAUGACGCUGAUGCACGAAAG